rnacentral:rRNA from 1 species
AUUGAACGCUGGCGGCAUGCCUUACACAUGCAAGUCGAACGGUAACGCGGGGCAACCUGGCGACGAGUGGCGAACGGGUGAGUAAUAUAUCGGAACGUGCCCAGUAGUGGGGGAUAGCCCGGCGAAAGCCGGAUUAAUACCGCAUACGACCUGAGGGUGAAAGCGGGGGAUCGCAAGACCUCGCGCUAUUGGAGCGGCCGAUAUCAGAUUAGGUAGUUGGUGGGGUAAAGGCCUACCAAGCCGACGAUCUGUAGCUGGUCUGAGAGGACGACCAGCCACACUGGGACUGAGACACGGCCCAGACUCCCACGGGAGGCAGCAGUGGGGAAUUUUGGACAAUGGGCGCAAGCCUGAUCCAGCCAUGCCGCGUGUGGGAAGAAGGCCUUCGGGUUGUAAACCACUUUUGUCAGGGAAGAAACGGUCGGGUCUAAUAAAUCUGGCUAAUGACGGUGCCUGAAGAAUAAGCACCGGCUAACUACGUGCCAGCCGCCGCCGUAAAAC